rnacentral:misc_RNA from 1 species
CCCUCUACUAGAGAGACUGAAGGCCAUGGAGAAAGUGGAAUAAGUUUGUGAAGGAUAGAAAUUGAUUGAUUAAAGACCUAAAUCAUUUAGGGAUUUUUUUUUACAUGCGUUUGUUGUUUCUUAUAACUUCAACUCUUAGCUAUACAACUAUUAAAUUCUCUCUCUUUUAUUUUAGAGAGAGAGAGAGAGAGAGAGAGAGAGAGAGAGAGAGCUGUAGCUAUAAGAUGUUGCUAUUAAGAUCAUACAAAAUGAUAAAAACGCAAAAUUAAAGAAAGGAUUAUUUUUUAAUUUUGAAAUUUGAAAGACCUGCAUGAUUGUAUGUAUUCUAAGUUCACUUAUUUUGCCUUAUAAGAUGUAGUUCUUAUUUUAAAGGGAAUAAAACAUAACUAGUUCUAUGUCUUUAAUGUGUACAUGUAAAACAAAAUUGUGAAAUAAACGACUCAUAAAUGUG